GGGGGCUUUCUUUUGUCCUUGAAUAUUUGAUAAAUUUUUACGAAAGUUUGCAAUACAUAUAUAUAUAAUACUAAAUAAGGCUAGGACUAGCUUUAUAGCAUGCCAGCAAAUUUACUCUUUACUCCAAAAUUUGAAAAAUUAUAGAGAGAAUACAAAAUUUCUGUUACUAUCUUUUGAUAGAAGGAAACAACCUCAGCUCGUGACAGGCACUAAACAUCCUAGAGGACAUCACCUAACAAUGGAUGGAAAUAAAUAAAAAAGACAGAUUGUGGCCUUAGAUAUCAUAAUAUGUAAACAGCAGAUGAGAUUAUGACAAAACCAUAUAUCUUCCCACUCUUGUAAGAUGCCUCAAAAUCUUGGAGCUGCAACAAGAACACAGAUGUGAGUCAAAAAAUGAUGGAGAAUUCCCCAUUUCAGAACCAACUACUAAUCAUUAAACUAGAUAAAUUACUCCAAAAAAAUGACAAAUGUCUCCUAUUGCUGUAAGUAUUCAGCAGAGACUUUUUAUCUCAUCAGCCCAUAUUAAGUUUUCAUAAGAGAGUCUAAUUUAAAUCUGUCUAUUGGAAGAGCAUUUUUCAAAUUGACACAACUACUAGUAACACUAUGUUUCACAACAUAGAGCUUACCUCCACCUAUUGUUGCUUCAGGCAUCCGCUCAAUUGAAUAUUUGUGUUGAGUAAUGUACAUAAUUGGGACACCAGGGAUCUUGCGUAUCCUUCGCUUCAGAUCACGAUCACAUGUGGCAACAAUGUAGCAUUUAUGCUGAGUAACCCUAUCAACAAUACAGUCAUCAGCAUAAGUCCCUUUGUGUAUACAUGGCAGUCUCUCAAAACGUGGAUCCUUAGCAAUCCUCAGAGCUACACGGUAUUUCUGACCUAACUUCUCAAGCUCUGCCAUAACACAAUCAGUGAUACAAGGUGUACAUUUUGCAUACAAACAAUCCAUCAUUGCCUUCUCCAAAUCCAACUGCAAAUAAAGGGGGAAAAAUAAAAAGGGAAAAAGUUGUAAGAGCUAAAAUAGAGAAUAAAAGGGACAUAAUUCCCAGUAAAACUAAAUGAACAAGUGAAUGUAAACCAGCCGUUAAGAUUUGUUAAGCAUGAAGAACAACAAAUAGCUCAAAAUUACAAAGAUAUUCAAUUUAAUUUUUACCCUUUUGAGAUUUCUCUCGUAUUAUAAUCAUAAUGUUUACACUUUUGCAAUUUUUGUAUCACAACCAAAUGAAGAUUAGAUGGAGCACAAUUGAAAUGAGAACAACAAUAACCACUCACUUUAUUUUGGAUGGAGAAAUUGAUAAAGUUGGUAUCCACCAAAACCCUGUACGGUGGCCCCAAUGCUGUGUUGUAUGUGAAGUAAAGUGCAGAAGAAACUUGUGGCACAUUUCGAGGGAGCUUUUCCUUGGAGAGAUCUUUUUUAUUUGGAUUCAAAACCUCUUCUUUGUAUUUUUUAAUUGCUUUUGAGGUGACUAUCUUCUUCAUUACUGCAAAUUUAGGGCCCUUUUUCGCCCUCCCCAUUGUGUCGACUUGUGUUUGCCUCGCUGGAUAAAUUAAUGUACUAUCUUAUCACCGGUCUUUUUACUUCAAUAAAUAGAUGUAACCUGCAAGAUGAAGGAAAUUUUCUUCUGCAUAGAACAACAGCUGAUGGAUUGCUUCUUGACAAAACAGCGGAAGAGAUGGAAGAAAAGCAAUGAGCAGUUCUACGGCAGCGGCGGAUAGGAUGUAGAAAAGAAGAUCAAAGCCGAGAUUGGAAGGCAGUAAACCUUUGGAAUUGGGCUUGCCCUUCAGCUACCAAACGGAGAGAGAGGGCCGUGCGGCUUUAAUAUUAUUAUGAUCGUCGGUACGAGUACACUACGAGUUGCAAUCGAUGUGGAGGUUCUCUCUCUUUCCUCUUUAGGGAGAGAAACUCUUGUUUUUCUCUUUGGAUUUUAUAUCUAGAGCCUCGGGCUCUUUUUUGUUGCCAUCCUCAUCGGCUUCCCCUGCCCUCCCAGCAAAUGAAGGCUCCUUUGUCCCUAACUGGCUUUGUGGGCUGCCCUCCCUACACAAACUGUGUUGUAAAUAUUUUUUUAUUUACUUUCGGUGGAGUAGCCAUUUUUGCAAGUGCCCUUUUCAGAGUUACUCCUGUUCAACUGAGACUUGUGCUUCGAGUUGCAUCGACAAAGAUAAACCUUGAUUCCCUUCUGGUGGAUGUGAGCCUGGAAUUGUUGGGAGACAGCUUCUUCAAUCUACUUCAAGUAAGCGAGAACCCAGAGGAUUAAAGUGUUGGUGACUUGUCUUGUACUGUUGUCCCCCUUCUGGUAACACAAGAAUGAGAUGCCAUAAGGCUAUCUCUCUUUCUAUCCUAUUUUAUAUUCCCUGUAUAGUGCGAUUCAUGGCGCCAUGGUCUUGUGUUUUUUUGUUUUGGAUGAAACUUGUGUUCUCGUUCACAUAUCGUGUGGGUAGGUUGUGAUAGGCUCUUCUUUCUCAAGCAAUGAGCCAUGCAUGGGCCUUUUGGCGCUUUUGUUUGUGUCUUG
rnacentral:misc_RNA from 1 species